UUCGGCAGUCGACCGCUUUUCAAACGACGACCGUCGCUUUUCUAUUCGUUCAUCUAUUAUGUUGUUUCCACAGCGCUCCCGAUCUCCUUCUACCACCUCCCUUUCCUAUUCUUCCUUUCUUUAUUUUCACGAGCUAUAUAGUCUCCGCUUCCUCCCUCCCCCCGCUAACACACACGCAACCAAAAGAUGGCGUAGUUUCGGCGCGCGCUGUUUCAGUCCGUGCCGGGCUGUCAGCGGGAUCAGCCGCUCCGCCAAACAGCUGGCGCUCGUUGAAUAUAUUUUGCCUGUUUAAUUGUCACUUUAUUUUAGUAGGAUAAUUAGAGAGUGAAAUUUUAAUGAAGGGCUAAUGUGGUGUUUUUCUUCCGACCCGAGUGAGUGGUAAAUACGUGUCGCUAAAGUGUUGUUUUAUGUGUAAAUCUUUGUGCGGCAUGUUACGAGGCGCGAUCACGUGGUUAAACGAAACCAAGUGGCCCUUUGAAAAAUAUACGAAGACGGAAUCUUUUUAUAACAUCGUCCCUGAAGGGGAUAUUACACAAGACUUCAUCAAGAAAAAGAAUCCCGGGCUGCUUCUUUUGGUUCGUGGAUGACAUAAAUGACAACCCAGUCAAUUCCUCACAAUAUAUCCAGUCUGCAAAACGCCGUGAUUUUCCACAUCAAUAAUUCGACCUUUCGUCUGACAACAGUUGUCUUUUGCAAAACAUGAGACAGAAAACAAAACAAACAACGAGAUUGCUAAACCAUCAUAGAAUUCAAGUCAAAACAUUAGACGCUCCGUUGAUCAAUUUGAAAAAAAGAGCUAAUUCAAUUAAACUAUACAGCUCCACACCACCCCCUUGUAGGCCCAUUUAUAGCUAAUCAAUUAGCUCAUUUUUUGUGUUGUUGUUGCACCAAACAAUCUAUAAUGCGGUUUAAGCCAAUCCAAGUCGCAUUAAUCACCGUUGCCAUAUUUCUCAGUUAGUUCUCGUCUAUGUCGUAAUCCCUUUUUUUUUAAAGUGUUUAAAAUAAUAAUAAUAAAAAAAAAAACAGCUUCGUCAGCCAUGGAAUCGGGAGGAGGAUGUACGAUGUGUCAAAGUGAUGAAUAUUUCAUUGAUGCCCUUGUCCCCCCCCCUUCCCGCCCUCAACGUUUUCGAUCAAAAUGAUUGCACAACGCGUGCUGGCCAGCAAGCCAAACGGCCCCCUUUUGGUCAACAACAAACUGUUUCUCUCUCUUCAUUCCUCAUCAGAAUCCCCAUCACAUAUCCACACUCAACGCAAAUGGCAAGAGCGCAGGCCGACAUAAAAAACUGUCCAAAAAUAAAAAUAAUAAAAUGACGUGCAAGUUUUUUUAUUAUUAUUAUUCGUUUUAUUUUUAAUAUAUAAAUAUUUUUUAAUCAAACACGUGGUGGUGUGCCUUCCUUCGCUUGGCCGUUGGAUGAUAUCAUCUGUGUGGUAUUUCGUCGUCAUUAAAUAUCGAUCAACGGUCCACACAGGCACAAGUCUAUCUGCGUGUCAGGCAUAAAGAGAUGAGAGAGAGGGUCCCUUCGUUUUAUAUAUAAAGAAGUGGGUGAUAUAUUGAAUGAGGAAAGAUAAAAACGCGGAUAUAUAGAAGGGCCAAAACCCAGGCGCAAGCAGACGGCAUUUUUUAAUAACAGCUCCACAGAUUCAUUAUUCAUAUCGUUUUCAAAUCGUCCAGAGAGGGGAAUGCCUUUACCAACACCCGGGCCCGCAUUUUUCGUGAGGCAACGUCGCUAAAGUGGAAUGCCAACACACACAAAUAAAAACGAAGAAGUUUGUCGUGAUGUUGUACAAAACGAUGUGUCCAGUUCAAAAAUUGAAGCGAAAAAAAAAAAAGAAUUGAUAAUCAAAAACAAGUGAUUGACGCGUGCAUAAAUAGACGUGACAUGGGCCCGUUUGUGGACGAACCAAUCAGGCGACGGGCCGAACAAUAGACCAAUUGUUUUCCAGCUUUUUGUUUCAGUGCGUCUAUCGUCUGCGUGUCGGUUGUUGUGACGGUGGGCUAACAGUUAAAGGGGACGGACAAGCUCCUCCCUCUGCGCUCCUCCUCCUCCAGUGUUUUUGCGUGGACGGUGAAAGAUCACGUCGAACCCAAUUUCCCCCCUCCCUACAACGCACACGACCGUGAGAUGAAAUUUUUUUUUGAACGCAAGACUUCCGGCCCGGACGCAUGCGUCCAACAUUCAGAGUGAAAAGUUGCGUGCAUUUUUCACGAUUUUGCGCUGCUUCGUGCAUGAAUUAAAGGGGGAUAUAGAGUUUGUGUAGGAGUCUGUAUCAUCUAGGGCCGGUCGGGUAUAAGGACAGGCAGCCUGGGCUCACGUCUCGUAUUGAUCGGGUCCUUAUUCAAGGAGCUAAAAAAAGCCUUUCCACAAUUUUUGUUUCCUUUUUUGUUUUCACGCUGAGCUGGCAGCUGUUCGACCCAAUCAAAUGACAAUUUAAUAUAAGAAUUCCUCUAACGUCCAAGAAUUUUAAAAUGGCGGAUUCCCCCACCCAUAAAAAGACAUUGGACAGUUUUCAACACUUUCCUUCGAGUUCGUCCACAAGUUUAACAGUCGGAAAAUCAGCAAAACUCUGACGCAAAUCAAAUCUCAGCUGUUUACGAAAAGCUUUUUGGCCGAUCGAAAUCUCGUACAAAUAUUUAAAAAAAAAGAGGGGGGGAUUCUAUACCACACGCACAAAAACGAGAGAAAAGAAGAGACCCAAAAAAAAAAAAAUAAAAAGUGGUUGGCGUGUUUACUUGGUGAGUGGUAAGUGGAGAGAGGGCGGAGGGGGAGCUCUCGUAAUAUAUGGGUUGUAAGAUAUCAAACCUCUUCCUAUCAGAGUUCCUCCCUUUUUUUUUUUCAUUUUCAAGUAUAGUACUAUACACUUUGUUCUCUUCUUAUUCGGAAAAAAUCGAGGCGGGUCUAUUCAUCUGACCGUAAGGAGAAGGGCGUAAGAGCGAAAGAGAAACGAGGAUUUUAUAUAAAUGUAAUAGCGGGAGCCACGUUCUUCUUUUUUUUAGAUCUUUACAUCAUAUUUUAUAGUGCGUAUAGUACAUACAUAAGGAGAGCAUGGGGUGAUGGUAAUAGAUUUCUCGAUUUUGUCGAAAUGAGUUCGAAACUCGAGUACCUAUUCAUCAGGGCCCAGGGUUAUACGUUGUCGCUCCUGGACGCGCGGUUAGGGUUGUGAAGCUGUGCCCCCCCCCCCUUAUCCUUCAAAAAAAAAUUAAAAUAAAUGAGGGAAAUGUGUAUAGGGUCCUAAAAUUUGACUAUAGGGGCUUGCCACAUGUGCAGUCGAGGAGUUGGGAUCACAGUCAACAACAUUUCAAUGUUGAUUUUAUACGAAGAGAUAUCGACGAUGUUGAAAGUUGAAAUUCAAUUUUCAAAAAAAAUGUGCGAUUCAAAUAAACAAAUAAGAGUGAAAAUUGAUGGAGGAUGGGGUAAAAAAAAAAUAAAGGGGGUGGCGGUUAUUUCGAAAUGUGUCACAUUUUUUGUCAAGUCAUUUUUGUCAACAGUUAUGCAACAGAUCCAGGCACAGUUUUCCAUCCCCUGAAAAUUCAAAGAUGCUCAUCGCUAAUAAAAUGUAGAGCUCAAAAAAAAAAAAAUGGUCCACUAUUUUGCCUCUUCAUCAAAUUUCAUUUGACGAAAAAUGAAAAUGUUUUCUUUUAUACAUCGAAAGAAAACAAAAUAAAAAAUUGGUGGAGAGCGUGGGAAGAAAAUCUGGUCUACUUGAAACACCUGAUGACACGACUAAAAAAAAAAACAACAAGAACCGACACCUCCAGCAAGUCUGUGUUAUAACCAAAAAGCGAACUGUAUACAACAGAAGCUCAAAAUCAUUGGAAAAGUGUAACAAACUCCUCCAUCGAAAUAA